rnacentral:rRNA from 1 species
UACGAAGGGGGCUAGCGUUGUUCGGAAUUACUGGGCGUAAAGGGCUCGUAGGCGGCCAACUAAGUCAGACGUGAAAUCCCUCGGCUUAACCGGGGAACUGCAUCUGAUACUGGAUGGCUUGAGUUCGGGAGAGGGAUGCGGAAUUCCAGGUGUAGCGGUGAAAAUGCGUAGAUAUCUGGAGGAACACCGGUGGCGAAGGCGGCAUCCUGGACCGACACUGACGCUGAGGAGCGAAAGCCAGGGGAGCAAAGCGGGAGUUAGA